GGUGCUGCCCUGCCUGCACACCUUCUGCGAGAGGUGCUGCCCUGCUUGCACACCUGUGAGAAGCGAACCUGGCCCCUGACCCCAACGUACCACAGCGCCAAGGUGCUGCUUCGAUCUGCACACCUGCAAGAGCCCCAAGGUGCUGCCCUGCCUGCACAUUUUCUGCAAGCAGUGAGCCUGAGCCCCCAACCCCGACCAGUGUCGCUGCCCCAGAGUGCUGCCCUGCGCA